UCAUCCUACGGACGCAGCAGUGAGGAAUAUUGGUCAAUGGGAGAGAUCCUGAACCAGCCAAGCCGCGUGAGGGAAGACGGCCCUAUGGGUUGUAAACCUCUUUUGUCGGAGAACAAAACCCGGGACGUGUCCCGGACUGCGUGUAUCCGAAGAAAAAGCAUCGGCUAACUCCGUGCCAGCAGCCGCGGUAAUACGGAGGAUGCGACCGUUAUCCGGAUUUAUUGGGUUUAAAGGGUGCGUAGCCGGUCCGUUAAGUCAGCGGUAAAAUUGCGGGGCUCAACCCUGCCGAGCCGUUGAAACUGGCA
rnacentral:rRNA from 1 species